GCUUCUCCAGAGUGGAAAACAUGUCAGCUUCCCAAGACAACCAAAUAUAAAUCUCACUGCACUGACAGAUGAUUGUACCAGCAGAAUUAUCAGGAGGCAUCCAGUGCACAUUCUCCAGACACAGACCCUUUGCAGGUUACAUGUGAGUCAAGGUCUUCAUCCUGCCCCCAGUGAAGUCAGAUAAAAGGAGCAGUGAACCAAUGGAAAGCACAACAUGGACUCAGGAAACCAGGAAGAAAUGAAAACCUAUGCAGAAUGAGAAACAACAGAUUGAAG